rnacentral:misc_RNA from 1 species
AACUGAUACUACCUGCGGGAACCUGCGGAGGGAUCAUUACCGAGUUUUCAACUCCCUAACCCCUCUGUGAACCUACCUAUCGUUGCUUCGGCGGACUCGCCCCAGCCCGGACGCGGACUGGACCAGCGGCCCGCCGGGGACCUCAAACUCUUGUAUUCCAGCAUCUUCUGAAUACGCCGCAAGGCAAAACAAAUGAAUCAAAACUUUUAGCAACGGAUCUCUAGAUCGGAAGAGCACACG